CAUUUAUUUUAUUAUAUUUUACAGGAGAAAAAUGGUAGCAAUUGUUCAUCAUAUCCCUUUAAUUCAAAUAUACAACCAAAUGAACUUGGUGGGAGGCGUUUUCUCUUUGAAUUGUUUCGGAAUAGAAUAUAGUCACGGUGAUGUGAGGAACGAAGGUUAUAUGCUCACCUUCAAUGAAUUUUACAUCCUAAUUUGCCGAAACACAACCUUCAUACCGUUGUUGGGGGAUGUCGAAAAUGGCUUUCCGUUCUAUCCGUUGGUGCCUUCCAUAAGAACUGACCGGCCGGAUACAAUUGACCUCACCAUUUGUCGCAACUCACCGACUUCAACCUUCAUAAGAAAGAGCUCGGAUUUGGUUGAAGCAAUCUUGGACUCUGUUGAAGCAAGUCGAUUAGACAUCUCGGUGUGGCUCAAUCGACCUGACGCACCGGUGCUAUGUCGCGAACUCGUAGAAUCGCUCCUAGUGCUUGAGACCCUAGACCAUCCCUGAAUAUAUGCAGGUCUUUUACCCAAGACUUGUUGCAUAAUCUCUAGAUCACCCGGAGGAUUUUCUGUUGAUUUAGUUUGCCGCUUAAUCUCUACCAUGUUCUCCUAUGGACAUAAAACUCAUAUAUAUAAAUCUUAGUGAUUUAUAAAACGAUGAAGACAUGCAAAAGAGUUCGUUAAACGUAACUUACAUAUGAAGUGCGAGAAUAGUUAUUAACCCAACCCUCUUUUUUUCUAUAAUGCAACUUUCGAAAAGUCUCUAUCUCACCGAUAAGUGGAUUGUCGGACAAUCCUCAAUUUCGAAAAUGGUGAUUUGGAGUGCUCACUGUACCGUUCAAACCAGAACAAUCAAAACGAAUUGCUUACCUCCUGUGAGGUAUGAUAACUUCUUUUGAUAGUUUUGAUGAAGCACAAGACGAUAAGAACAGUUUCUAUCCGAUGGAAUUUUUAAACUCACUGACUGGUCCGUGGCAAGGAAGAACCUCAGGAAGCACACGACUUGGUGUUCUAGCGCUUUCGGGCUAAGUUCUAAUGGAAACAGAGCUGGAUGUCAUGGUUAAUGAUUUAUAGACCAAAGCCAUGCACAAUAGAUACUCAGAUUGGAUGAGCGUUGCACGUGACUUGGCCGUGGCACAGGCCUAUCCUGGUGCUCAGCAAUAGGACGAUAAGGACUUCUCACGGAUUAGAUUACAUUGUCCUGUAUGGAUCCCAAAGAGGUUUUGGCUUCAAAUGAUUGACCAGGUUUGGGAUACCGAGCCUUGGAAAAGGAAAUCCAUGAUCAAUAAGGUUAAUCGGAACACACAGUUUGAAGGGGUGUCAUCCAGACACACCGGGGGAUCGAUCAGUAUUGCACAACAUCGAGACAGGAUGGCAAAAGUAAUGGGUCGUGAGCCGACUGCUACUGAGGUGUUUGAGCGCACUCACUGCACGAACCAGAAGUUCGAUCAAGAUUCGUCUGACCCGCCUACCGAUCCUCCUCGGUUCAGUUACCCSAAAGCUGCUAGGUAUCAUGUAAGUUUUCUAAAACCAUUACUUUGGUUAAUAGAUACGUUUGGUAGGUUUAAGGUAAUAUAUUUUAGUAAACAUAGUGAUGCUAUUAGUUUGGGCUACCAUUGUUGGGCAGACGUUAGGCUAAGUAGAUAGGUUGAGAAUGUGACUAUCAUUGUUAUUAUUAGAAUGCUUUAAUUG